ensembl:snoRNA small nucleolar RNA SNORD94
GAGACGGUGAUGAAAUGGCGCAGGGGUACGGACCUCAGCCGGUAAUGGGGGCUGAGUGCCGGCGGCCAUGCCCAGUCCGGACUCGCGUGUGGCGGCCCGACUGACGGCACCGGCACGAAAAGGCCAGAAUCUGAGUCUC